GACGAACGCUGGCGGCGUGCUUAACACAUGCAAGUCGAACGGAAAGGCCCUGCUUUUGUGGGGUGCUCGAGUGGCGAACGGGUGAGUAACACGUGAGUAACCUGCCCUUGACUUUGGGAUAACUUCAGGAAACUGGGGCUAAUACCGGAUAGGAGCUCCUGCUGCAUGGUGGGGGUUGGAAAGUUUCGGCGGUUGGGGAUGGACUCGCGGCUUAUCAGCUUGUUGGUGGGGUAGUGGCUUACCAAGGCUUUGACGGGUAGCCGGCCUGAGAGGGUGACCGGCCACAUUGGGACUGAGAUACGGCCCAGACUCCUACGGGAGGCAGCAGUGGGGAAUAUUGCACAAUGGGCGGGAGCCUGAUGCAGCGACGCCGCGUGCGGGAUGACGGCCUUCGGGUUGUAAACCGCUUUCGCCUGUGACGAAGCGUGAGUGACGGUAAUGGGUAAAGAAGCACCGGCUAACUACGUG
rnacentral:rRNA from 1 species